rnacentral:rRNA from 1 species
UCCUACGGGGCGCAGCAGUGGGGAAUAUUGCACAAUGGGGGAAACCCUGAUGCAGCGACGCCGCGUGAGCGAUGAAGUAUUUCGGUAUGCAAAGCUCUAUCAGCAGGGAAGAAGACGACGGUACCUGACUAAGAAGCCCCGGCUAACUACGUGCCAGCAGCCGCGGUAAUACGUAGGGGGCAAGCGUUAUCCGGAUUUACUGGGUGUAAAGGGAGCGUAGGCGGCGAUGCAAGUCAGAAGUGAAAGCCCGGGGCUCAACUCCGGGACUGCUUUUGAAACUGUAUGGCUAGAUUG